rnacentral:lncRNA from 1 species
UAAAUUUGCAUUUUCUCUUCUCUAGGCAAACGGGUGCAUUUUCUCUUCUCCAGCCACUGCCAUUUUUGCCCCCUCCAUGAGCCACCGCCUUCUACCUCACAAUCCGACCACCACUACCCCCUACCUAGACCACCAGAUCCCAGCAUCACUUGAACCCAUUUUCGCACAAGCCACGAAUUGCACUAUAGGCCUUCCCGAUGGCCAACAUUCGGAUUCUACACUUUAGAAAUUCAGAUUGCUGAAUUGUUGUUUGUGGUAAGUUAGGGCCAUGGUUUGGGUCAGUUUAUGGUGGGCAAUCGACCGGUGGUGGCGCGCGGCCUUGGGUGUCGUCGGAGGUGGAGAUUCCGGCAGAAGCAGUUCAUGUGUUUUGGCAGUUUUUGAGGAUGACUUUUGAUCGAUUUUGGUAUAUGUUUGGGUUGUUGUUUGUGUGGUAAUUGAAGAAGGGAUUGAGGUGAUUUCUUGUCUUAAAGACUAGGGAAUAUGAUUUUUGGUAUAUGUUUGGGUUGUUGUUUGUUCAUUAACUUUUCAAUCUUGAAUUCUUGGUUAUUUUUUUUAAUUUUUUUUAUAGGAAAUGUGAUUGAUUAUCAUUUGGAUUUUGGAUAGAAAUGUGAGUGUAUAUCUAUGAACAAUUUGAAAAUGGAGAUGUUUUAUAAGUAAAG